rnacentral:rRNA from 1 species
UACGGAGGGUGCAAGCGUUGUCCGGAUUUAUUGGGUUUAAAGGGUGCGUAGGCGGGUUGUUAAGUCAGUGGUGAAAGCUCCGAGCCUAACUCGGAAACUGCCAUUGAUACUGACGAUCUUGAGUACAUUUGAGGUGGGCGGAAUGUGUCAUGUAGCGGUGAAAUGCUUAGAUAUGACACAGAACACCGAUUGCGAAGGCAGCUCACUAAACUGUAACUGACGCUGAGGCACGAAAGCGUGGGGAGCAAACAGG